rnacentral:lncRNA from 1 species
UUCCUGGAAGGCAGAAAGAAAGAGAUAAAAAGGAAAAAACAGCAUUUGUCACUUAUAGUGCUCUGGUUAGCACAGUAGCUGGGCCCCUGAACCCUCUACAGGCCUCCCAAGCUGGCACUGAAUAAAAUGUGAGAAAUGAAAGGAACUUUUCCGUGAGUCUGGCAGCGCCGACAGACACUGAGGUGGCAGAGCUGUCUGGUCCCAGUCCACAUGCAGAGGCCUGCAGCUCCUCCUUCCAGCCCGCACCCACCAGAGCUUCUCAGACGGGCCGUGUCCUGAGAAGGUUGUUGCCAAUGUAGAUGUUUGAGAGGCUCACUGAUGAACAAAUCAACAGAGCAGAUUUAAUCUGAAGAGAUCCAAAUAUUGUGCUUCUUUGGACUCAUAGAAAUGGCGAAAGAUUUAACAUCAGGAAGUACUUAAGUCAGCUAAUUUCUAGAGCCUUCUUCCUCCCUGUCACUUGAUUCUAGAUAGGAUCACCAGUUAGACAUCAGAACCAGAUCUUUUUAUCCAGAGAAGUACCAGUUUGUUGUUUUUCCUUCCGAAGCCAAGUCCUCGAGUUUCAGGUAGACUUCAGUUGAUUUCUGCGAGGUCUUUGCUUUCUCUCUGCCAGAAUAAUCACUGCUGAGGAAAGCAAAAAGCCCCGAAGAGCCUGGCUUGGAAUAAAAACAUGCACCAUACAAGAUUUUUAUGAAGAUUAAAUAACUUGGGCUAAAAUAUUCUGGAAGCUGCCAAGGGCUCUACAGAUGAGCUAUACAGAGGCAUUUGCUGAAAACUGGCCUGGAUUGACAAGCGCAAUGCAAACGUGGCUGCGGCAGUUCCAGGCAUCACAUGGUAACAAGAUCACAUCCAGUGAAGAAGGAAUUCUCAUAAGACAGUCAGCAGAUUUUGCAGUCCUGCAAGGUGGAUAUCACUCUCACCUUCAGCGCACAAAGAAAGGAGGUAUACAGAAGACACAGAACUCACCAAAGUCACAGGAACUAGGUGAGGAUGAACCAGGCUGCAUCCAAGCAGCCCAGCUUCAGGGUCUGUAUUCUUUGCCACUACCCAGAACUUUUACCAAUAAGCAAAGCUAUUGUUUGCAAUAACAGGAAGCAAAAAUAGCAAAAAGUUCCCUUUAAGGGGGAGUGUUAUAAUAUACUUAACAAUCAGAAUGGCUGAAGCACUGAUCUGUGAGAGUGGCUACUGGUCAUAGCCUGGAGCUGGUCUUUUAGGUCCUCUUUGGUUACUGGAUCCUGGGAGGAUGGAUGAGGAAGUGGUCUCAGGCAAGGGGUGGAGUUAAGUGGCUGUGGAAGGUACUUUGGAGGCUCAGGCAGCAGCUUUUUUUCCCCUUAAACUUUUGUUUUAAGUUCUAGGGUACACGUGCAGGAUGUGCAGUUUACAUAGGUAAACGUGUGCCGUGGUGGUUUGCUGUACAGAACAAACCAUCACUCAGGUAUUAUUAAGCCCAGCACCCAUUAGCUAUUCUUUCUGAUGCUUUCCCUCUCCCAACUUCCACCCGACAGGCCCCAGUGUGUGUUGUUCCCCUCCCUCUGUUCUCAUUGUUCAGCUCCCACUUAUAAGU